AUAAUAAUAAUAAUAAUAGAAUUCAUAAAUAAUAGAAAUAGUACUAAUAUUUCCAAAAUAACAGAAAUAAAAUCUCCUAAUUUUACAAUGAAAAUUAACAGAAAUAUUCCUAAAUAGAAUUUGAAUCUUCCGAUACUGCAUCAAGGUGCCUUCUAUGCUUACUUUGUUUUUUUAUUCAUUUUGUUUGCAUUAUGUUGUUUUUCAUUCUUAAUUCAUCUAAUGGCAGUUAUCUAGAAAAUAAGUUUUAACAAAGUAACCAUAGAAUCUCCCAUCAUAACAUACUUAAGGGCAGUUUGUGGGAGUGUAAUGCAGAGGAGCAUGCAGAGUGUAAUGCCCAAAAAGUGUUUGCCACAGAGGCACUUGAGCAAACUAACAAACUUGAAAACAGCUUGAGUUUGGAACUCUGAACAGCUCAAGCUUGUGUGCACAAGCAAAUUGCGCCAACUUCAAGCUUUCUUUUUCCUGCAAAAUUGCUUGACAGGCCCAGCCAAAUACCAUACACUGCAUCUUAAACUUGAUCACUAAGCUACUAGCCUGACAGGUGACAGCCUAAUAUAAUAAUUAUAGAAAUACCAAAUAUAUUAGCAGUUUUAAUUAUAAGUGUGUGUACCUUUUAUUGGCACAGAUUUUCAAAUCUAUAAAUCUUUUACAAACAAAAGUUGAUGUAUUUAGGCAUUUUAAAUUAACAGAACAUUUCAUCUCAAAGUAAUAACUAAAUACCCUAAUUUUAGAUGAUUCACCAUGUAAAAGAAGCUUGUAUUGAAAGUGGUUGUUAAUAGACCAAUAGAUCUAUAAAAGUUUAAAAUUGUCGAGCCCAAUUGGUUUGAUGCUUAAUCAUCAAGUGGAACCAAGCUCUGAGAAUAUGAUGCUGAACCAAGUUUUGAUACAUUUUUAUUAACUUGUUAAAAAUGACCCAGAAUUGGUUUUUAUGCUUUAAAAAUGGUAAGAAAAUCUUAAAAUAAAUAAGUCAUUAAAAGUGCAGAAAUGUCCCAUUUAUGAAAUGAAUAACUUGAACAAUGGCACUUGUAAAGAGGCAACUGAAACAACCCUGUAUCAUGGAACCUAAACUUAUGGCAUAUAAUUAAGCAACUCAUUAACAAACAAUUAGAUUCAAGGCCAAAGUUGGGCAGUAUUAUCAAGAGCAAGCGAAGAACCUGAGUAGGGAAAUAUCGUAUGA
rnacentral:misc_RNA from 1 species